rfam:Pantoea vagans C9-1, complete genome.
CCUGGCGGCUUUAGCGCGGUGGUCCCACCUGACCCCAUGCCGAACUCAGAAGUGAAACGCCGUAGCGCCGAUGGUAGUGUGGGGCCUCCCCAUGCGAGAGUAGGGAACUGCCAGGC